rnacentral:rRNA from 1 species
AUUGNGAAGGCAGGUUACUAAGCAACAACUGACGCUGAUGGACGAAAGCGUGGGGAGCGNACAGGAUUAGAUACCCUGGUAGNCCACGCCNUAAACGAUGCUAACUCGUUUUUGGAAUGUAAGUUUCAGAGACUAAGCGAAAGUGAUAAGUUAGCCACCUGGGGAGUACGAACGCAAGUUUGAAACUCAAAGGAAUUGACGGGGGCCCGCACAAGCGGUGGAUUAUGUGGUUUAAUUCGAUGAUACGCGAGGAACCUUACCAAGGCUUAAAUGGGAAAUGACAGGUUUAGAAAUAGACUUUUCUUCGGACAUUUUUCAAGGUGCUGCAUGGUUGUCGUCAGCUCGUGCCGUGAGGUGUUAGGUUAAGUCCUGCAACGAGCGCAACCCCUGUCACUAGUUGCCAUCAUUAAGUUGGGGACUCUAGUGAGACUGCCUACGCAAGUAGAGAGGAAGGUGGGGAUGACGUCAAAUCAUCACGGCCCUUACGCCUUGGGCCACACACGUAAUACAAUGGCCGGUACAGAGGGCAGCUACACUGCGAAGUGAUGCAAAUCUCGAAAGCCGGUCUCAGUUCGGAUUGGAGUCUGCAACUCGACUCUAUGAAGCUGGAAUCGCUAGUAAUCGCGCAUCAGCCAUGGCGCGGUGAAUACGUUCCCGGGCCUUGUACACACCGCCCGUCAAGCCAUGGAAGUCUGGGGUACCUGAAGUCGGUGACCGUAACAGGAGCUGCCUAGGGUAAAACAGGUAACUAGGGCU